AUAUAUGUUGCAAUACAUAUACUAAAACUGGAACGAUACAAAGAAGAUUAGCAAGGUCCCUGCGCAAGGAUAACAUGCAAAUUCCUAAAAUGUUUCCUAUUAUC